CCUACGGGUGGCAGCAGUGGGGAAUAUUGCGCAAUGGGCGAAAGCCUGACGCAGCGACGCCGCGUGAGGGAUGAAGGUCUUCGGAUUGUUAACCUCUGUCAGUAGGGAAGUACGGUCACUGUGCUAUUCAGCAGUGAAUUGACGGUACCUGUAAAGAAAGCAUCGGCUAACGCCGUGCCAGCAGCCGCGGCAAUACGGAGGGUGCGAGCGUUAAUCGGAUUUACUGGGCGUAAAGCGCUCGUAGGCGGUAUGUCAAGUCAAGGGUGAAAUCCCCGCGCUCAACGUGGGAACUGCCUUUGAAACUGGCAAACUGGAGUGUGGGAGAGGAUAGUGGAAUUCCAGGUGUAGGAGUGAAAUCCGUAGAUAUCUGGAGGAACAUCAGUGGCGAAGGCGACUAUCUGGCACAUAACUGACGCUGAGGAGCGAAAGCGUGGGUAGCAAACAGGAUUAGAUACCCUUGUAGUC
rnacentral:rRNA from 1 species